rnacentral:rRNA from 1 species
ACGAACGCUGGCGGCGUGCUUAACACAUGCAGGUCGAACGGAAAGGCCCUGCUUUUGUGGGGUGCUCGAGUGGCGAACGGGUGAGUAACACGUGAGUAACCUGCCCUUGACUUUGGGAUAACUUCAGGAAACUGGGGCUAAUACCGGAUAGGAGCUCCUGCUGCAUGGUGGGGGUUGGAAAGUUUCGGCGGUUGGGGAUGGACUCGCGGCUUAUCAGCUUGUUGGUGGGGUAGUGGCUUACCAAGGCUUUGACGGGUAGCCGGCCUGAGAGGGUGACCGGCCACAUUGGGACUGAGAUACGGCCCAGACUCCUACGGGAGGCAGCAGUGGGGAAUAUUGCACAAUGGGCGGAAGCCUGAUGCAGCAACGCCGCGUGCGGGAUGACGGCCUUCGGGUUGUAAACCGCUUUCGCCUGUGGCGAAGCGUGAGUGACGGUAAUGGGUAAAGAAGCACCGGCUAACUACGUG